UGCCUUUUAUUGUAUUAGAGCUGCUUUUAAAUGCAGACUGAUUUGAAAAAGUCUGGCUCAUUGAGUUACCACACAACAGUAAAAUUACCAAAAUAAAAGCAGACAAGGCGUUACAGUGGAGCCCGGAGUGUGCCAUUGGUAUAAUUAAAGGCUUUUACAGUGUAUGUAAUAAUUAUAGUUAUAUCAGUUGGUCAAAUUAUCAAUAAAAUAAUGAUUACAAACCGAUUAAUUUUAAUGAUUCUGAAUUAUUUGUUACAUUAUUCUGUCUUUAAAUGUAAUAUUUGUUGGAUUUUAAAAUGGAAUUGCACCAUUUAUUUUAAAGGGCUUUUACAUUUUACAUGUGUUAAGCCAUUUAUUUGUUUGACAUAUUACAUUCAUCGAUAGUUUUCAAUACAUUUUUCCGCCAUUUGAAAUGAUUGGCCCGUUGUUAUGUGUUGGCAGGAAUCUGACCAAUCAGAGCUCCUGCUUAGUGGCUCAUUUGAUUUUGAUUUUUUUUGGCGGCACACUGCUAAUACGUCUUGACAAUACAGUGAUGAAAUGAAAACUGCCAAAGCUAUGGAAAAAUAUGUAUCGUGGAAUAUGGUAAGCAGAAAAA